rnacentral:rRNA from 1 species
GACGAACGCUGGCGGCGUGCUUAACACAUGCAAGUCGAACGGAAAGGCCCUGCUUUUGUGGGGUGCUCGAGUGGCGAACGGGUGAGUAACACGUGAGUAACCUGCCCUUGACUUUGGGAUAACUUCAGGAAACUGGGGCUAAUACCGGAUAGGAGCUCCUGCUGCAUGGUGGGGGUUGGAAAGUUUCGGCGGUUGGGGAUGGACUCGCGGCUUAUCAGCUUGUUGGUGGGGUAGUGGCUUACCAAGGCUUUGACGGGUAGCCGGCCUGAGAGGGUGACCGGCCACAUUGGGACUGAGAUGAGGCCCAGACUCCUACGGGAGGCAGCAGCGGGGAAUAUUGCACAAUGGGCGGAAGCCUGAUGCAGCAACGCCGCGUGCGGGAUGACGGCCUUCGGGUUGUAAACCGCUUUCGCCUGUGACGAAGCGUGAGUGACGGUAAUGGGUAAAGAAGCACCGGCUAACUACGUG